AGCUUUGCACAGUGGCAGUAUCACAACUGAUGAGACCAAGCCGAGGCGCAAUUAUUGCUAGAUGAAAACUUUUCCCAAUUCUCUGCCAUGGUGACUUGAAAUAAAGUUAGCAUUGGCAAUUUUUGAUGAUCUCCACGGAGA
rfam:Alligator sinensis unplaced genomic scaffold scaffold489_1, whole genome shotgun sequence